rnacentral:rRNA from 1 species
GACGAACGCUGGCGGCGUGCUUAACACAUGCAAGUCGAACGGUGAAGCAGAGCUUGCUCUGUGGAUCAGUGGCGAACGGGUGAGUAACACGUGAGUAACCUGCCCUUGACUCUGGGAUAAGCGUUGGAAACGACGUCUAAUACCGGAUACGAGCUGAGACCGCAUGGUCAUCAGUUGGAAAGAUUUUUUGGUCAAGGAUGGACUCGCGGCCUAUCAGCUUGUUGGUGAGGUAAUGGCUCACCAAGGCGACGACGGGUAGCCGGCCUGGGAGGGUGACCGGCCACCCGGGGCCUACGGCAGGCCCCAGUCGCCAACGGGGGCCACUGGGGGGAAUUCUGGCCCAGGGGCGCCAAGCGUGUGACGGCAGCCCCGGGAGUGGAAGGCCGUCUUCGGUGUGGAAAACCGCUUUAAGUGGGAAAGAAGCGAAUGUGACGUUACCUACAGAAAAAGCACCGGCUAACUACGUG